AAGAAGAUGUAACCAAUGUAUAACACUUGUAUUUUCAUCACUGGAUGUUGUUGAGGCCGGGCGCUAGCGGUAUGCCUUUCCCAAGGAGGCUAGCAUUGGAUGUGCUCGUGGAAACAGAACAACUUAUUUACAAUUUACAGAACGAUCUCAGUGAUUGGCUACACUCCAGUACGUAUGAGAGAUUUCCGCCUCCGGAACGAGCUCAGUGAUUGGCUACACUCCAGUACGUAUGAGAGAUUUCUGCCUCCGGAACGAGCUCAGUGAUUGGCUACACUCCAGAAGGAGAUACAGACAAGGCAGAACAUCUAAAAAGGAAGCUGAUAAAUCGGAGCAGGGUGACGGUUGGACUUCCUCCCCUCAGAGUGGAUUUCCCCUCCCUAACCUUGGGAAAGAGAUGCCACGUGCUCCACAGUUAGAGGUUCCACAUCUCUCUGACGAAGACCCUCUGCCAUGUUACCACCACCAACCUUCCACUGUGCCAGACUGCUGACUAGGUCAAGCCAACCAGGAGAGUAAUUGGGAGAGAAUAUCACUGCCCCAGCCAAUGCCAGACAGACAGACAGAUCAAGAUGACCUGGGAAAUCCAUUUGGGCAUUGGCUUACAUCACCUCUCCACACGGGAUCCAGUGAGGGGCCACAGGGAUGUGGAACAAUUGUUGCAGAUCAUGGAAUUCCCAUCGGUUGGAGCUUCCCGCCUGUUUCGUGGUGGAGCUAAAAGUAGCAUCUGCCAUCGUUCAGUCAGAGCAUCAAACUCUCCGAUUAGUUUCCUUCUCCUGACCCAUAAAGUUAGGGGAGCUGUGAAUGUUCUUCUCUCUGUACACUCACUGAGAUGUUUCACAUUGUGUAUAAACCCCAUGACAAACGGUAAGAUGGCGCUUGUCUGUUCUCUUUGAAGAGACUGUGUGGAGAUGGAUUGCACAGGCUCUGCUAUCUGACAGCUAGCUGGGCCUCUAAGUUCACAGUGUUACAGAAAAGCUGGAACAAGCGUGUGGACAUGGAGAAAACACACACUGAAAGACCAUCCCACAGAGAACUAGAAAGAUGUAGAAUGUACUGGAUGAAAUUUCCUAGUCUUUACAACUGACAUGGAGUCAGUCCAAGACACUCACCUUGAACUCUAAAUGGUACACUUCUGUUGUUCCUCUCAUUACCAUUCCUGUCAAGUCCUGUGUUCAUACUGGGAUUAGUACAUAGUUCUCACACCCAUAGGCGGAUGUCAUGAGCAAGACAUAGGUCAAAAGGUUGAAUGUUGUCUGUGUUGUAGGGGUACGGUGUUUAAAAAUGAUUUCUGUCAGAUGUCUGUCUACCUGCUGAAAUCCAAGUUCAGAAGACGUUGCUCUGCUCAGAAUGUAGCAGUUGAGGCAACACUCCCAAAGCAGUACAAAUGUAACAUUUGUUGUGGAGAAAAUAAAUCUGAGCUGUCCGAUACAUUUUAUGCAUAUUGUUGUUCAAAUUUCAGUGAUACAUUUCUGUAGACAAUGAGCAAAAAGCAUCCCUCAAUCGUACAGAGUGCACCUUUCACCAUACCAAGGGUACACACCAAUAACGACCCCAGGUGGCUAAGCAACACACAAACCAGUCCUUCAUUAACCAGUCACUAAGGUUGCUGAGGUGGCAAGUCGCUAAGGUCUGAACUCCAGCUCAAAGGUCAUGCCACAUGACAGCUGCAUUUCCUACAUGUUUUCACAGGUUCUCUAAUCACUGUAGAUUGACAACAGCACAGACGGUCCCAUUCAACCUCCCUGCCUGCCUCUCCCUCAGAUGCCUAGAUUAAACAAACACCCGUGGCCCGUCCUCACAGUCCUGAGUUGCAGCUCCCUCUCAUAUAGUAUAGAAUAGGGUUCAGCGCAACUCCACCCGUCCCCCUGUCGCUGAGAUACAGAUCUGUUUCCGUUACUUGAUGUAAGCCGGGGAUUUAGCUAUGUGUAUACUGCAGAUAGGGGGUCAUAUGGAUAGGAUUUACUUGGACUGUCAAAUACAAUAAACACGCAAUGUAGUCAAUGUACACACAAAACGGUUGUAUAAGUAACUGUGCAUUCAUCUUGAUGGUGAAAGCUGAAUAAAGGUUGAGCAUAAUGCUAACGAACCUUGACUCCGACACACACACACACACACACGUCCAUCCUUCAUAUGUACAGAAAGACAAAGGGGUCUACAUUCAAAAGGUGACAGUUGUGGAUCCAGGACAGCUGGAGCAAAGGUCCACAAGCCGGCCAGAUGUGACAGACAUGAUGGAUCGUGGAUAUGGAAGAGUUGCCAGGUCUUGACUAUUUCAGUCCUCCAUUGUUCAGCAUUCAGUCAUCACUAGCAGCCAGUCAACAGUCAGCCCAGUCCCCGUCGCGUCACAAAGGAUAGGAGAGUUUAUGGGAAAAACACAGAGCAUGUGUUUCCUUUCUCUCUUGCUAACACACUGGGUGACAAAAUUGAUAGAACGGAGUAAAUAACUACAUUUUUGUCAUUUAGGCAGACGCGGUUAUCCGGAGCGACUAGGUGGGACAACCACAUAUCGCAGUACAUUUUCCUCAAUAAAAUAGCUAUCACUAAAGUCAGAGCUAGAAAGGGGGGGUGAUAAGAGACCAGAAUGGAGUGUUCGGGUUAUUCAGGGUUUGAGCAUAGCCUGAAUGUAGGGAGGGGCAGUUCCUCUUGCCACUCCUUAGGCAAGCACUAUGGUCUUGCAAUGGAUGCGAGCUUCGACUGGAGGCCAGUGGAGUGUGCAGAGAAACAAGGUGACAUGGGAGAACCUGGUAAGGUUGAAAACCAGGCAGGCUGCAGCGUUCUUGAAUUGCAGGGGUUUGAUGGCACAAGCGGCGAGCCAAGGCAACAGCGAAUUGCAGUAGUCCAGACGGGCGAUGACAAGUGCCUGGAUUUGGACCUGUACCGCUUCCUGUGUGAGGUAGGGUUGUACUCUACGGAUGUUGUAGAGCAUGAACCUGCAGGAGUGAGUCACUGCUUUGAUGUUUGCUGAGAAUAACAGGGUGUUGUCCAAGGUUCUUGGCACUCUGGGAGGGCGACACUGUGGCGUUGUCAACCAUGAUGGAGAGUUCUUUGAGCAGCAAGGCCUUCCCUGAGAGGAAGAGCAGCUCCAUCUUGUUGAGCUUGAGGUGGUGGGCCGACAUCCAAGCUAAGAUAUCUGUUAGGCAUAGCAAUUAUAGGAGAGACAAUGUGAGGAUAUGACCGAGACAAGUGACUUGGUGUAUAGAGAGAAGAGGGCCAAGAACCAAGCCCUGGGGGACACCAGUAGUGAGAGUAUGUGGUGCAGAAACAUAUCCUCUCCACAUCACCUGGUAGGAGCAGCCUGCCAGGUAGGAUGCAAUCCAAGAUUUUGCAGAGCCUGAGACACCCAGCCCUGAGAGGGUGGAGAGGAGGAUCUGAUGGUUCAUGGUGUUGAAGGCAGUGGAUAGAUCUAGGAGGAUGAGAACAGAGGAGACAGAGUCAGCCGUGGCAGUGUGGAGAGCAUCCGUGACACAGAAGAGCAGUCUUGGUUGAGUGACUUGUCUUGAAGCCUGACUUGUUAGGGUCAAGAUUGUUCUGAGGGAGAUAAUUAGAGAGUUGAUCAGAGACAGCAUGCUCAAGUAUUUUGGAAAGAAUAUAAAGGGUUGCAGGUCUAUAGUUUGACAUCAGAUGAGUCAAGUGUUGGAUUCUUGAGGAGAGGCGCGACUCUUUUUUUGAAAUCAGAGGGGAGUCAGUGGUAAUCAGAGACCUGGAGGGGGUUUGCAGUGAGAUUAGUAGGUGAACAGCCUCUAGUAAAGAUGAGGUCAAGCAUAUUGCCUGCCUUGUGAGUUGGAGGGGAAUGUGAAAGGAUGAGGGAAAAAGAGACAAGAAAGGGAACAGGAUAGUUGGAAAGGAAUUAAUAGAAGGCAGACGUCGGGAGGUUGAAGUCAGAAAGUACGAAGAGCAGUGAGCAAUCAUCAGAUAAUUAGCUUGUCAAGCUCAUUGAAGAAUUAUCCAAGGGCACCUGGUGGGCGAUAGAUGACAACAAUGUUAAGAUUGAGUGGACAAGUGACAGCAUGGAAUUCAAAUGAGGAGAUGGACAGGUGAGUGAGGGAGAAAAUAGGAAAUCUCCAGUUAGGAGAAAUUAGUAGACCUGAACCAUCAUCACAAUGAACAGAUGCUCUUGGACUACGAGAGAAAACGUAGUCGGAUGAAGAGAGAGCAGCUGAAGAAGAAGUGUUCUCUGGGGUGACCCAUGUCUCCGUCAGGGCCAAAAAGUCAAGGGACUGAAGGGCAGCAUAGGAUGAGAUGAACUCUGCGUUCUUAACCGCAGAGCAGCAGUUCCAAACGCUUCCGAAGACCCAGAAUUCCACAUGGGUUGUGUGCACAGGGUACACUAAAUUAGAAGAGUUGCAGGCAAGAGGUGGGGAGAGUCUGUAAAGCCUACAGGGAGAGAAGCAAACAGAUAUAAGACACACGUAGUUGCCAAAGCUACAAAAGAGAUCAAACGAGAUCAUCAGAAAAUAACUAGGUAAGAUACUGAAGUGAGAGGGCUGGAGCCUUCCUCAAAGAACUUGGCAGAACCGUCUUGUUUCGGCAACGGUCUUAGUUUUGCCGACAAGACCGCCACUUACAGCUGCCGUUGCGAAACCAGGGAAGACUGAAGUACUAACACUAAUUGCUAUUUGCCUAGCAGAGGUGAAGAGCACACCAGAGUGUACUAAUUGCUGAUUGCCUAGGAGAGGAGAAACCACUCCCCCUCCAGUACAGCCACUGAUAACCAAAACAAGUCACAAAUUGCCCUUCCCUUUAAUCCUGGUUGAUGUGUUAACAAACAUCUGCAAGUUAUGAGCAGUCAUCAGUACACACACCAAGUAGGCUAAUGGGAAGACAGGCAGCACUUGAAGUAGAUGGCCCUAGCGAGCAAAAAGACAGCAGAUGAAGACAAAAAUCAUACUUGUCACUCCUGGAGCUCAGGAGUCCUCUAGCUAUAGAGUCACUCACAGUUGUCUGUUUUUGUAGCUAGGCUAUACGCCUAACAAUUGAUGCUUGGAAUGCAGUCAAUUCUGGCAGCAGAUGGCUAUUGAAUAGGCAGAUAACUAAGGCAUUCCUUAUUGUUGUUCAAAUCUAAGAGCCUUCAUUGAAGUUGGCUUCCUGCAACAGCUUUCAGCAACACUUGCAUUCAAUAUGUUGUGGUCUUGAAAAAAAGCAGACAUAAAUACCUCACCAUUGCUCCAUGCCCUUCAUAUAAGCUUACAACCAUUUGUAGGUACAGUAUUGGUAAAAGCUGUCUGAAUUAAAUGUUGAAGCGGAUUAUAUUGUUAAUAAAAAGGCACUGUUUAACCAAUCCUUUCUAUCUGUUCUUCUCCGUCUCUCUCUCGUGAUAAUCAAGGAAGUGAAUUUGGCAAUGAUAACUAUAAAACAAUGUUGUGUACUAAAGAUGAUGCAAUUAAGCACAUAUGUACAAUAAUUACAACCUUUACAAAAGGAUUACCUGAACCCCUAAGAGGUAGUUGCCGUGUUUGAAUGCCA